rnacentral:misc_RNA from 1 species
GAUGAAGAACGCAGCGAAAUGCGAUAUGUAAUGUGAAUUGCAGAAUUCAGUGAAUCAUCGAGUCUUUGAACGCACAUUGCGCCCCCUGGUAUUCCGGGGGGCAUGCCUGUCCGAGCGUCAUUGCUGCCCUCAAGCACGGCUUGUGUGUUGGGCCUCCGUCCUCCUCCCGGGGGACGGGCCCGAAAGGCAGCGGCGGCACCGCGUCCGGUCCUCGAGCGUAUGGGGCUUCGUCACCCGCUCUUGUAGGCCCGGCCGGCGCUUGCCGACACAUCAAUCUUUUUUCCAGGUUGACCUCGGAUCAGGUAGGGAUACCCGCUGAACUUAAGCAUAUCAAUAAGCGGAGGA